GCCUGGGUGGCUCAGUCGGUUGAGCGUCCGACUUCAGCUCAGGUCACUAUCUCGCGGUCCGCGAGUUCGAGCCCCGCGUCGGGCU
rnacentral:tRNA from 1 species